CGCGGGAUGGAGAAGUCGGUAUCUCGUCGGGCUCAUAACCCGAAGGUCGCUGGUUCGAGUCCAGCUCCCGCUACUA
rnacentral:tRNA from 4 species